GUAGGUGGCAAGCGUUGUCCGGAAUUAUUGGGCGUAAAGCGCGCGCAGGCGGUUCUUUAAGUCUGAUGUGAAAGCCCACGGCUCAACCGUGGAGGGUCAUUGGAAACUGGAGAACUUGAGUACAGAAGAGGAAAGCGGAAUUCCACGUGUAGCGGUGAAAUGCGUAGAGAUGUGGAGGAACACCAGUGGCGAAGGCGGCUUUCUGGUCUGUAACUGACGCUGAGGCGCGAAAGCGUGGGGAGCAAACAGGGAUUAGAUACCCUGGUAGUCCACGCCGUAAACGAUGAGUGCUAAGUGUUAGGGGGUUUCCCGCCCCUUAGUGCUGCAGCUAACGCAUUAAGCACUCCGCCUGGGGAGUACGACCGCAAGGUUG
rnacentral:rRNA from 1 species